rnacentral:rRNA from 1 species
ACAGAGGUGGCAAGCGUUGUUCGGAAUUACUGGGCGUAAAGGGCGCGUAGGCGGCCUACUAAGUCAGACGUGAAAUCCCCCGGCUUAACCUGGGAACUGCGUCUGAUACUGGAAGGCUUGAGUAUGGGAGAGGGAUGUAGAAUUCCAGGUGUAGUGGUGAAAUGCGUAGAUAUCUGGAGGAAUACCGGUGGCGAAGGCGGCAUCCUGGACCGGCAUUGACGCUGAGGAGCGAAAGCCAGGGGAGCAAACGGGA